CGUACGAUACGAGUUUGAUCAUGGCUCGGGAUGAACGCUAGCGGCAGGCCUAAUACAUGCAAGUCAAGGGGCCAGCAAUGGCACCGGCGGACGGGUGCGUAACGCGUGCACAACGUACCUCUGACAGGGGGAUAGCAUUGGGAAACUGGUGGUAAUACCCCAUAGUAUUGCUGAGAGGCAUUUCUUGGCGAUUAAAGUUUCGGCGGUCAGAGAUCGGUGUGCGUCCGAUUAGCUAGUUGGCGGGGUAACGGCCCACCAAGGCGACGAUCGGUAGGGGGUGUGAGAGCAUGACCCCCCACAUGGGUACUGAGACACGGACCCAACUCCUACGGGAGGCAGCAGUAAGGAAUAUUGGACAAUGGUCGGAAGACUGAUCCAGCCAUGCCGCGUGAAGGACGAAGGCGCUCAGCGUUGUAAACUUCUUUUGGAUGGGGAUAAUAAUCUCGAUUUAUCGGGACUUGAAGGUACCAUCAGAAUAAGCACCGGCUAACUCCGUG
rnacentral:rRNA from 1 species